CUGCUUCAACAACAGUGACUUGCUCUCCAAUGGUAUCCAGUGAUUCGUUGAAGAGGAGGUGCUCUGUGGCAG
ensembl:miRNA